rnacentral:misc_RNA from 1 species
AAAAAAUUGUAACUUAUACACAUGGGCAAAUAGGGAGUUUUUUUUUUUUUUAAUUUGUGGUGCAGCAAGGCACAGAACUCAUUUUGUUUUUAGAUUCUACAUUUCUCCAGCUACGUUUCUCAAAUUUCUCAUCUCAAAGUUUCCAUCUAUACAAAUUUUCAUUUCUUGAGCUAGGAUUAUCAAAUAGUGAAAGUUUAUUUGAAGU